GGGGGGAUUGGGGAUUGGGUCGGCAACGCGCUUGCGAUGCUUCUGGUGUUGCAGGUGUCUAUAGGCAACGGUAAUCGCUUACCAUCAGGUGAGCCGUACGCUUGUUUGCCGACCUAGUAACCGGUGGUAGUGGAACUGUGUUAUCCCUUAGUCACCUCUUACGACAGCCACGGGAAGAGAAGGGGUGGCUAUGUUCUUUAAUGCCGU
rnacentral:misc_RNA from 1 species